rnacentral:rRNA from 1 species
GGGUUGUGAGGUUAAGCGACUAAGCGUACACGGUGGAUGCCCUGGCAGUCAGAGGCGAUGAAGGGCGUGCUAAUCUGCGAUAAGCGCCGGUAAGGUGAUAUGAACCGUUAUAACCGGCGAUACCCGAAUGGGGAAACCCAGUGUGAUUCGUCACACUAUCAUUACGUGAAUACAUAGCGUAAUGAAGCGAACCGGGGGAACUGAAA